AUUGAACGCUGGCGGCAGGCCUAACACAUGCAAGUCGAACGAGUGGCGGACGGGUGAGUAAUGUCUGGGAAACUGCCUGAUGGAGGGGGCUCACUACUGGAAACGGUAGCUAAUACCGCAUACCAUCGGAUGUGCCCAGGUGGUAUUAGCUAGUAGGUGGGGUAAAGGCUAACCUGGGCGUCGAACCCGAGCUGGUCUGAGAGGAUGACCAGGCACACUGGAACUGAGACACGGUCCAGACUCCUACGGGAGUGAGGAGUGGGGAAUAGUGGAAAAUGGGCGCAAGCCUGAUGCAGCCAUGCGGCGUGUGUGAAGAAGGCCUUCGGGUUGUAAAGCACUUUCAGCGGGGAGGCGUUACCCGCAGAAGAAGCACCGGCUAACUCCGUGCCAGCAGCCGCGGUAAUAC
rnacentral:rRNA from 1 species